CUGUUUGCCGAUGGAGCAUCUUCAAGAUUCACAAAUCGACUUUUCUAGGGCUAGUGAGUCUUGUGGUCCCUUUGCUCCAGGCCCUUUUGAUUUGAGAAUCUUGAUGAUGCUGCAGCGGCAAUAAA
rnacentral:pre_miRNA from 1 species